CUACGGGGUGCACCAGUGAGGAAUAUUGCACAAUGGGGGGAACCCUGGUGCAGCAACGCCGCGUGGAGGAUGACGCAUUUCGGUGUGUAAACUCCUUUUAUAUGUCAAGAAAAUGACGGUAGCAUAUGAAUAAGCACCGGCUAACUCCGUGCGCAGCAGCCGCGGUAAUACGGAGGGUGCAAGCGUUACUCGGAAUCACUGGGCGUAAAGGACGCGUAGGCGGGUUGGAAAGUCAGGUGUGAAAUCCUACAGCUUAACUGUAGAACUGCACUUGAAACUUCUAAUCUAGAGUAUGGGAGGGGGAGAUGGUAUUAGUGGUGUAGGGGUAAAAUCCGUAGAUAUCACUAGGAAUACCUAAAGCGAAGGCGAUCUCCUGGAACAUUACUGACGCUAAGGCGUGAAAGCGUGGGGAGCAAACAGGAUUAGAUACCCCUGUAGUC
rnacentral:rRNA from 1 species